rnacentral:rRNA from 1 species
UACGUAGGGUCCAAGCGUUAUCCGGAAUCACUGGGCGUAAAGCGUGCGUAGGCGGAUAUUUAAGUGCAAUGCGAAAUCCUGUGGCUCAACCAUAUGGACUGUAUUGCAUACUGGAUGUCUGGAGGAAUGCAGAGGCAAGUGGAAUUACCGGUGUAGCAGUGAAAUGCGUAGAGAUCGGUAGGAACACCAGUGGCGAAGGCGACUUCCUGGCCUGUUCUUGACGCUGAGGCGCGAAAGCUAGGGGAGCAAACGGG